AAGGAUACCUGCCAGAUAUCAGUCUGAGUUCUCCUUUGUGAGGUGACUCUUUGGAUAUACAGGGGUUGGGAUGCUGCUUGAGGAGACAGUCUGUCCUUUAUAGGAGCUCAAAUGCUGAGCUGUGAGCUCCAUUCUUCCUUUCAGAGCCGCUAGACAGGUACUUUUAAGUCUGCUUCAGUAGAACUCAUAAACGCCUUUUUUUCCCCCAGGCGCUCUGUCCCAGGAAGGUUGGGCUUUAUUUAUAAGUUUCUGACAUAAUGACGCCUUUUCUCAGGGCUGCCCUGCCCAGUGAGGAGGCAGCCUAGUCACAGUCUGCCAGCAGAGGCAUUGGUGACUGCUGUGGGCUCUGCCCAGCUGCCCUGUGAACUUCCCUGCACUCCUGUUUACAGGGGUAUGGUUAGAAAUGCCUUGGCAAUGGUGGCCCGCCUCUGUCAUGGUGGACUCUCUCUGUGAUGGCAGACUGCCUUGGCAAUGGCGGACUGCCUCGGUAGCGGCGGACUGCCUCGGUAGCGGCGGACUGCCUCGGUAGCCGCGGACAGCCUCGGUAGCGGAGGACUGCCUCGGUAAUGGCGGACUGCCACGGUAGCGGCGGACUGCCUCGGUAACGGCGGACUGCCUCGGUAGCCGCUGACUACCUCAGUAAUGGUGAAUGCUCCUCCCCCACAGAGCUGGACUGUCCCGGGUUCCGCUGUGCUUGCUGUGAAACUCUCAAUCUAGAGCUUUCAGAUUGCUGGUUUUUCUGGAGGUGGGACUGGCCGUGCCUGAUCACCUGGCUCCCUGCCUCAGACCCCUUUUUUUUCACUUGAAUGGGUGACUGUCUACCAGGCGUUCCAGUCGCCAGUGGAAAAGGCGCCCGGAUUUGUGUGAAAUUUUGUGCAGAGAGCUGCGGUGCCGGCUGAAGCAGCUGCGCUCGAGGCGCUUUUCUGCCCGGGAAUCUCCUGGCCUGGGUCACUAUAUUCCGUUUUUUACCUGUUGAAUGGGUGAUUCUCUCUCAGGCACUCCAGUCACCAGCCGAAAGGGCGCCCUGCCUGUGUAAGUGUUUUAUGUGGAGACCUGCGUGCUGGAAACGGCUGUGCUGGAGACCAGUGGUGCUCCUUUGCCCGGGAAUCUCCUGGUCUGUGGGCAAUAAAAACCCGUCCGGAAAUGUGGCGACCACUCCCCUUCCGCACUCUCGCUGGGAGCUGCAAACCAGAGUGGCUCCUACUUGGACAUCUUGGAUCCCCCGCAAGGGAUCUGGAACCGAACCCACAAUAUCUUCAAGGUGUGCUGAUAUGUGUAAAAUACUUGGCACUGUGCCUGGGAUAUGGGAAACUUGAUUUAAAUCUGUGCAUUGCCACGGGCAAGAAGCCGAGAACAUGGAGAGAAAGAAGUUUCAGCAGAAGGCUCUGAAGCAAACUAAGCAGAAGAAAUCCAAGUCGGCUGAAUUUCUGAUGGUUAAAGAAGAUAGAGAAGCUACAGGAGGAAUUGGAAAUCCAGCUUUUAACAUGAGCAGUCCAGAUCUCUCAGCAUGUCAGACUGCAGAAAAGAAAGUUAUUAGACAUGACAUGCUGGAUCGCACCCUUGCAGCUCCCCAACAAAAAUUCAGGCUGCUAGCCUCUGCAGAACCAAAAGGAAAUGAAUACGGCAGAAAUUACUUUGACCCACUGAUGGAUGAGGAAAUAAACCCAAGGCAGUGUGCGAUGGAGGUCAGCAGAGAAGGUGAUGAUAGAAUUUUCUAUAAUCAAUUAACAAAACAUUUUGAUGAGAGCGGACAAGAAAAACCCCAAGAUGAGAGCGGCGGGGAGGAGACUCUGAAUUCUGAAGCACCUGGGAGUUCCAGUAAGAAUCACAAAAUCCACAAAGAAGCCAGUGAAGCCACCCCUGAUUACCUUGAGGAGUUCCAAAGAUAUGCUGAAAAAAACAUGAUUCUGCUUAGAAGUUCUCCACUAGAACAGGAUUUGAAAUUCGAAGGGGAAGGACUCAACCAAUACAUUCCGAUGUCACUUUUAAAGACGGGUAGAACAUUUGAGAACAGAACUCCAAGUCCACCAUUCAUUGCAGACCUAAAUAUUUGUAAAAAGGACAGUGCAGCCCAGCUCGGUACCCUCACAGAAGUAACUAAUGACUCAAAGGGAGCAGCAGGACCCGGCUGGAAGUUCCUGAGUAAUUCAAGAACCCUGCCUUUUGUGGAGAAUGAGCAGUCUCAACCACCUCAGCCUUUGCAAAUCCAGAUCAGAUGCCUGAGGGGCCUUAAAGCCAAGGCUCCCCCAGGCUAUUAUGUACUCAAAGUGUCCCCGCUUGGUCGAUUGGGAGGCUGUGUCCUGCAGUGGCGGCAAAUGGAACAACUGAAGACCAGAACACACCCCAUCAGGCACAAUGGAAACUUUUAUGAUGUGGGGCUGUAUUUCCAUGAAAACCUUUAUAUGGUUUGAUGAAGAGUGGACAGUCAUGGUGAAAUAUGAUCUGAGGAUGAAAAAGUCUGAUCUAACGGUAAUAAACUAGGGGAACCUGGCAAGCGCUGUUUGCUCAGAUCUUUCUUGAGCUGUCUGUGUUUGGUUCCUUUCUUCUGGGUGUAGGAAGGGUACUGCUCACAUGAGGAUCGCAUGACCUACUUCCAGAGAGAAGGGUGAGGAAAGUGAACUUUCUAGGUUUUAUGACCUGCCUCAAGGAAGAGGGGUUGGGGGAAGGUUAGAGGAGCUUUCCCACUUAAUAUUUUGGGGUAGAAGAUCUUGAAUCUCAUCACAGUUUAGCCCUAAUCCAUAUCCACUCCAGGCUUCAGACAGUUUGGAGAACUGGUAAGGUUGCCAGCCCUCUCUUUGAAACAGGGAUUAAAACUCUUUCUGGGAAAGAAUUCUUCUGAAAAGAAAAAAGACCUCUGAUAAGAUUCACCCAGAAACUAGGCAAGCCUCAGUUGGCUUAUCUGUGAAAUGGAUAUAACAAUGCCUGCCUACCAUAGGCAUGUUAAAAAUGACUGAGUUGAAAUGCCAAAUGUAGGUGAAGGGGAGAAAGAAAGCAAAACACACUGCCAUGUGUAUACCUAUGCAACUGUCUUGCAUAUUCUGCACAUGUACCCCCAAACCUAAAAUGCAAUAAAAAAUAAAAAAAAAAAUGACUGAGUUGAUGGCUUACCGAAAUGCAUAGUACCAACAGAGUAAGAAUUCAGAAGCUUCUUGUAUUAUUAUUGUUAUAAUUAUGGUGUCUCUUUGUUAGUGAAGCCUAAAAAUUCUUACCUGCUGGAUUUUUUUUCUUAAAUUAAUAUGAUGAAUGUGUAUAUUACAAAUAACUUUUUUCUUUUAUUUAAGGUUUAGGGGUACGUGGGCAGGUUUGUUAUAUAGGUAAACAUGUGUAUGGGUGUUCGGUAUACAGAUUAUUUUAUCACCCAUAUACUAAGCAUGCUAAGGUAUUUUUUUCUUGCCUUCUCCCUCCUCCCACCUUUCACCCUCAAGAGAGCCCCAGUGUCUGCUGUUUCCUCUUUGUGACCAAGUGUUCUUGUUUAUUAACUUUCACUUAUAAACAAGAACAUGUGGUAUUUGGUUUUCUGUUCCUGCUGUUAGUUUACAUAGGAUAAUGGCCUCCAUCUCCAUCUAUUUUGCUGCAAAGAACAUGGUCUCAUUCUUUUUUUAUGGCUGCAUAGUAUUUUGUGGUAUAUGUAUUAUAUUUCCUUCAUUCAUUCUGCUAUUGAUGGGUAUUUAAGUGAUUCCAUGCUUUUGCUAUUGUGAAUGGUGCUGCAAUAAAUAUACAUGUGCCUGUGUCUUUAUAGUAGAAUGAUUUAUAUUCCUUGGGUAUACCCAGGAAUGGGAUUGCUGGGUUGAAUGGUAAUUCUAAUUUCAAUCAUUUGAGAAAUUGACAUACUGCUUUCCACAGUGGCUGAACAAAUUCACACUCUCUGACCAACAGUGUGUAAGCAUUCACUUUCCCUGCAACCUGACUAGUAUCAGAUUUUCAAAUUAAACUUUUGUUGAGAACAAUAUAGGCUAAUAAUUUCUCUUCUCCAAUAAGUGAUCCUAAAGGCCUUUUUAAGAAUGACAGAAUAUAGGUGAGGGGUGGUUAGUCUCAUUUGGUUGUGAAGAUGACUUCCCCUGGGGAACCCACUUACUGUCAGAACUAGAAUCCGAGGACAGGUACCAUGAAGGCAUCAGGCAUUGGUCAACCCCUGAACUGAGGACUUGAUCCUCACCAAUGGUCUCAAAGAAAUUUCAGGAAUGUGGUGGUAGCUAAGAAUUUAGUUAUUAAUUUUCUAGAAACAGUCCAAUCAGCCUAAUAGGCAGUUACAUUUUUUGGUGCUUUUUAAUUAAGCACCAAAAAUUUUAAAGCAUGGAGUUGGGCUACAAAAAUAUCAUUCAAAGAGCUUGCUUUUUAGAGCCAUCUGCAUAAAUAACUAUUUACAUCAAAAGGCAACAUAGAGUGUUUUUAUUAUUGUUAUCAUUUGUUUAGAUGUUCAUUCUGUAGACCCACUAGAGUGUAAGCCACAUCUAUUAAUAUGUUUGGUAGGUAGAAGAUAUUCCAUGUGAGCUGUUGAAUGAUUGUGACAGGGUACACUACAGAUAAAAUGCCAGGAGGGAUCAGAGGAUUGAGAAGUACAUCACAGACAUCUUCAGGGAGAGAGGGUAGAACCACUAAGAGACUAAUGUUGCAAAAUGUUGAAAAACCUAGAAGCCGAACUACCAUUUGACCAAGGAAUUCCAUUACUGGGUAUAUACCCAAAAGAAUAUAAAUCAUUCUAUUAUGAAGAUACAUACACAUGUAUGUUCAUUGCAGCACUUUUCACAAUAGCAAAUACAUGGAAUCAACCCAAAUGCCCAUCAAUGAUAGAUUGGAUAAAGAAAAUGUGGUACAUAUACACCAUGGAAUACUAUGCAGCCAUAAAAAGAAACAAGAUCAUGUCCUUUACAGGGACAUGGAUCUAGCUGAAAGCCAUUAUCCUCAGCAAACUAAUGCAGGAACAGAAAACCAAACACCAUAUGUUCUCACUUAUAAGUGGGAGCUGAACAAUGAGAACUCACGGACACAUUGUGGGGAAUGAUACACACUGGGGCCUGUUGAGGGGUGUGGGGCGGGAGAGCACCAGGAAAAAUAGCUAAUUUAUGCUGGGAUUAAUACCUGGGUGAUGGGUUGAUCUGUGCAGCAAACCACCAUGGCACAUGUUUACCUAUGUAACAAACCUGCACAUCCUGCACAUGUACUGUGGAACUUAAGAUAAAAGUUGAAAAAAAUGUUCAUAGUAUUAAAAACUGCAUCAAGUCUGUAGGGAAAAGCAAAAGCUGGCAAUCACUCCAGUAAUAAAAUGUGUUUUCCCUUCCUGCCAAACAGAACAGAAAGUAUCUUGGACUAGUUGAAAUAGCAACCCCCAAUUUUUUUCCCCUGUGUCAGAAGCAAACAAACAAACAAAAAAUAAUUACCUCCUGCCACAGUCAAGGAAAAUUUACUCUUUAACAGCCUGACAAAAUGUCACUGAGUUACAUCCCUCCCUUGGCAUCACCUAGCAAAAUCCUAGAUCCCCAAAGAAAUACACUAGGCUAUUUCACAUUCAGUGUACAUAUGAAAAGUACAAAAUUCAGGGUGAAAACAAAAACAAGAAAAGCACCAAAACAUCCAGAACUUGACAGGAAAGAGAAGUCAUCUGAGGCUUUUUGCUUUCAGAAUAAAAACGCUGUUGCUCAAAGUCCUAUUCAUUCCAAUGGGCUCUACGCAAUCACAUCAAGUUUUUUCACUAACCACACAAUUCUGCCUGCCAGUCACUCUGCUGGUAGUUUGUGGGAGACUGACAGAACAGUAGAUUUUAAAGCAAUGGAAUUUUGUAAUAACAGGAGUACAUUCACCGAACACAUGCAUGUGCAUUGUGUAUAUAAAUGAUCUAGGGACAUUUAAGAUAUUUAUUUCAUUACAUUUUAAAUACAAGUCUAAGACAGGUUUAUCUUUUUUUCUCAGUCCAUGAGUUGGAGAAAUUGGCUUCCAUAAGGUCGUUUGAGAGUGCACAGCAUCUUCUGAAUGCUACUUCGGUAGUUACCUAUUCCUGUGCAAAAAGAAAGAGCCAAGAAACACCAUCCAAAUAAAUGGGCAGAGCUUCAUUCUAGAGAAGCACCGAGUCCGAGGAGGAAAGUCACAGUAGACACCUGUGCUCCCUCAAAAGGAAACUGUGAAACCUGGCAUGGCUUUCUUGUUUGAUCUCUUCCUCCUUCGUGGAACAUACUCCUGCCCAGACCGGGCUGUGGGCUGGGCAGUGUUCCCUUUGUGUGACAACUUUGAUCUAGUG